rnacentral:rRNA from 1 species
UGAACGCUGGCGGUAUGCUUAACACAUGCAAGUCGAACGGAAACGAUACUAGCUUGCUAGUAGACGUCGAGUGGCGGACGGGUGAGUAACGCGUAGGAAUCUGCCUGAUAGUGGGGGAUAGCCCGAAGAAAUUCGGAUUAAUACCGCAUAAUCUAUUCGUAGUAAAGUGGGGGACUUUCGAGCCUCACGCUAUCAGAUGAGCCUGCGUAAGAUUAGCUAGUUGGUAGGGUAAAAGCCUACCAAGGCAACGAUCUUUAGCUGGUCUGAGAGGAUGAUUAGCCACAUCGGGACUGAGACACGGCCCGAACUCCUACGGGAGGCAGCAGUGGGGAAUAUUGGACAAUGGGGGCAACCCUGAUCCAGCAAUACCGCGUGUGUGAAGAAGGCCUGAGGGUUGUAAAGCACUUUCAAUUGAGAAGAAAAGUUAACGGUUAAUAACCGUUAGCCUUGACGUUAACUUUAGAAGAAGCACCGGCUAACUCCGUGCCAGCAGCCGUGGUAAUACGGAGGGUGCAAGCGUUAAUCGGAAUUACUGGGCGUAAAGCGUGCGUAGGCGGUUUAUUAAGUCAGAUGUGAAAGCCCCGGGCUUAACCUGGGAACUGCAUUUGAAACUGGUCAACUAGAGUAUGGUAGAGGAAAGUGGAAUUUCUGGUGUAGCGGUGAAAUGCGUAGAUAUCAGAAGGAACAUCAAUGGCGAAGGCAGCUUUCUGGACCAUACUGACGCUGAAGGUACGAAAGCGUGGGUAGCAAACAGGAUUAGAUCCCCUGGUAGUCCACCGCCGUAAAACGGAUGAUAACUAGCCGUUGGAGGGAUUUACCCUUUAGUGGCGAAGCUAACGCGUUAAGUUAUUCCCGCCUGGGGAGUACGGCCGCAAGGUUAAAACUCAAAGGAAUUGACGGGGACCCGCACAAGCGGUGGAGCAUGUGGUUUAAUUCGAUGCAACGCGAAGAACCUUACCUGGUCUUGACAUCCUGCGAACUUUCUAGAAAUAGAUUGGUGCCUUCGGGAACGCAGUGACAGGUGCUGCAUGGCUGUCGUCAGCUCGUGUCGUGAGAUGUUGGGUUAAGUCCCGUAACGAGCGCAACCCCUAUCCUUAUUUGCCAGCACGUCAUGGUGGGAACUAUAAGGAGACUGCCGGUGAUAAACCGGAGGAAGGCGGGGACGACGUCAAGUCAUCAUGGCCCUUACGACCAGGGCUACACACGUGCUACAAUGGGAAGGACAAAGAGCCGCGAAGCCGCGAGGUGUAGCUAAUCUCAGAAACCUUUUCGUAGUCCGGAUUGGAGUCUGCAACUCGACUCCAUGAAGUCGGAAUCGCUAGUAAUCGUAGAUCAGAAUGCUACGGUGAAUACGUUCCCGGGUCUUGUACUCACCGC